GAAGAAUAAGAACACUUAGAACAGAGGGAACAGUAUAGGAACAGUAGGAACAGCUGUGUAAUAGUUUAAUUGCUGACGUAGCAUAUUUUGUGACAAUUUACAUGAAGCGUGUAUUAUAAAUAUACCGGUAUUGAAAGUGCAAAAAAACAGCAUCACUGACAAAUUUAACAGAGCAACAAGAGAAUACCAAUCAACAACCAUGGUGGAGACUGUCAAUAUGGAAUCAGGACAAACUGGAGCGAGAUUCCCAAAACCAAACGUCACGAAUUUAUGCUGCACAUCGAUAGUUCAGGGGAUCAUUAGAGGGAAAGAAGACCACUACUAUAUCCUUUCUCUGCGUACCUUGCUCUUUGCAUGCAUUCUCUUUUUUGCUUGGCCAGGAAUUCUGUUGAGUGUAGCUGCUAUCAUCAAUGCUAAAAAGGCUCAAAAACUGGACAUUGAAGGUAAUAAAACCGAGGCUGAGAGAAAGGCUUCUCUGGCUAAGAAUCUCAACAUUGCAUCUUACAUCACCUCUGGAGUGUAUUUCAUAGUGGUGUCAACAGUGCUCCCAGUGGCAAUUUCCCUUGGAAUCCUAUUCAGUCAGCUACAAUAAUGACAUACGCCUGAGGCUAUAGGUACAUGCAGCUGAUUUAGAACUACUGAAAUCAGACACUAGUUAAAUUAGUGCACACUAGAUGUAUUGAUGUAUAUUUCAUAAGAUUGGAACGUUUAUUUAAUGAAUGACAAACUGAAAUCACACGAUUAGAGUGCUUUAAAUAAAAGUGUACGUUCAUAGCUUAUCACAUCUGGCUAUCAAUAGAUUAUGACAUAGAACAAUUCCAAUUAACAACAUGGCCACACUUACAAUUUUCCCCUGUUGCCUUUCAACACCUUAAGGUGACAUAUGUUUGCGGGUAUUUCUGCGAAUGAGAGUAAAAUCGCUGUAUUUACGAAAAUGCAAUUAGAACCAUGCACUUGCGAGUAAUUAGAAACGCUAGAAUUUAUAUAGUACCAGCAAAAUGAGCUAAAAUCGCAGACAAAUCUACCUGUGAAAACAUGUCACCUUAAGGUAUUAAAAGGAGGCAUAUUCAACCCUAACCUUCUACAAGAACCUGCAGGUGCAGCGGCUAAUUAAAAUCAACAUGGAGUGAGGUAAGACAACAGGAGUUAAAACAAGGAAGUCCCUCCCCCCACGGUCCAGUCCCUGUGUUUAACCAUAACCACCAUCUGUGAGGGCUUCAGGAAGGGCAAGGAGGAUCACUACUACGCUCUCUCCAUUCGCAACACUAUUGUGGCAGCUGUACUGUUGGCAAUGCUCUUCAGCGAGGCAGCCAUCUUCAAUGCAAAUAAAGUACUUCUAUGCACACACAUUUACAGUUUCUAUUUUAGUAAACACGUCAUGCAUGAUUGCUACAACAAGCUAUCAAAAGACUAUAGAAUGUGACCCAUGCCAUAACUGAAUACUUGAAGAGGUUUCUCUUUAUUGCGUUUAAUCGAAGAACUCGUAUUCUGAUGUGCAUUGAAUGUACGAACUUACUGUUCCCUUUGUUCCUAGCAUAGCAUUCCUAAACUAUUCCUUUUUUAUUGUUCCUACUGUUCUUAGUGUUGCUGUUCUUAGUGUUGCUGCUGUUCCUACUGUUCUUAAUGUACCUGUGACCAUACUAUUCCCAUGCAGUGUUCUAAAUAUUCCUACUGUUUCCCCUGAUGUUCCUAGGAACAGUAUAGGAACGGAAGAGUAAGAACACGUACUUAGAACAAAGGGAACAGUAGGAACCAUAAGAAUAGCUGUUUAAUAGUUAAAGGCUGACUUAGCAUAAUUAUUUUGUGACAAAUACAUGAGCAUUAUAAGUAAUUGAAAGUGUAAAAAAAAAAACAUCACACUGAACAACAUUGAUAAUGGAGCGGAGCAUCCAAACAAAUUUUCAAUGAUUAUGUAGAUUAUAAGUAUUUAAUGGGGUGAACAUGCAGUGAGGUAGGUUCACGGGCAAGCACAGAGCAACAAGAGGAUACCAUUCAACAACCAUAAUUAUACAAGUGGAAACUGUCAAUAUGGAAUCAGGACAAACUAGAUUUCCAAAACCAAACCUCGAGAAUUUCUGCUGCGCAUCGAUAGUUCAGGGGAUCAUUACAGGGAAAGAAGACCACUACUAUAUCCUGUCUCUGCGUACCUUGCUCUUUGCAUGCAUUCUCUUUUUUGCUUGGCCAGGAAUUCUGUUGAGUGCAGCUGCUAUCAUCAAUGCUAAAAAGGCUCAAAAACUGGACAUUGAAGGCAAUAAAUCCGAAGCUGAGAGAAAGGCUUUUCUGGCUAAGAAUCUCAACAUUGCAUCCUACAUCACCUCUGGAGUGUAUUUCAUAGUGAUAUCAACGGUAUUCCCAGUGGUACUUUACAAUGGAAUCAGGCUAUACGUACGUAUACGCAGCUGAUUUGGAAUAAAGAAUUAAUACAGAUAAUAGAGUUAGUGCACACUAGAUGUAUUGAUGUGUGCGUAUGCAUGGAUAUUUCAAUUUAAGAAUUGGAAAGUUUAUUUAAUGAGUGACAAACUGAAAACACACAAUCAGAGUGUGCUUUCAUUAUAGUGUGUACUUUCAAGAGAAUUAUCAGCAAAACAAGACGUAUUCACCCCGUGUGUUGAGCUUCAUUGCAUGUGCACAGUGCAAAGUUAACUUUUCACGGUAAUGACCUUAUUAUCAUUAUCGUGAAUCUAUGAAGCAAGGAUUAGAAAACAGUGUUUUUUGUCGUCUUUGACGACCGCCUACAAGUUUCAACCUAUAGCAGUCCAUGAAAGUGUCUAGCUCGCUCAAACGGCUCAUUUUUUGUGUCCACACACACACACACACGAGUCAAAACGGUAUGCUUGAGCGGGCACGGUUCCAUCCAACCCAGUUAGCCUAGUGCUUACUAUCCCCCUUCCAAACACACACAAAUCGACACACACACCAAUAACUCUACCCUGCUGCGCGCUAUGCACGUACGGGGUAAUAAAGUGCAUUAAAGCAUAGCAAAAGCAAAUAUAGAAUUUGCAAUUAAUGGUGCUACAAUAAUUUUCAGUUUCAACAACAUGGCCACACUCACACAUGCAUGUACAUGAACUUUCCCCUAUUACUAUUCACAGAAUAUACUAAAGAAAGGGAUAUUCAACUCUAACUAAAACAAUCUUCUACAAGAAUUAAACGUAACAAGUGUAGUGAUCAGUAAAGAAGUAAUAUCAUGUAAAUUGUCACGAAAUAUGCUAAGUCACCAUUUAAAAUAUUAAACCGCAGUUCCAUUCCUACGAUUCCUACUGUUCCCUCUGUUCCCUGUGUUCCCUCUGUUACUACUAUUCCCUGUGUUCCCAGCGUUCCCUCUGUUCCCUGUGUUCUUGCUGUUCCCUCUGUUACUACUGU